rnacentral:antisense_RNA from 1 species
CUUCAACGAGCCCAGCAACAGCGGGCGUUCGCCGCGCCGCUUCUGGCCGUACGUCGCGAGCAGCGCCUGCGCCUC